GUGGGAGGGGGCUUGCCCCCGAUGACGUUGGGUCAGUCAACAUUCAUUUAUCUGACCCACCGCUAUCGGGGGCAAGCCCCCUCCCAC
rnacentral:misc_RNA from 1 species